GUCUUUGAUUCCCCGCUGCCAAGAAAAGCUUCUAGCGAGAUAAAAGGUGCCUGUACCGCAAACCGACACAGGUAGGCGAGGAGAGAAUCCUAAGGUGUGCGAGAGAACUCUGGUUAAGGAACUCGGCAAAAUGACCCCGUAACUUCGGGAGAAGGGGUGCUUUCUUAACGGAAAGCCGCAGUGAAUAGGCCCAAGCGACUGUUUAGCAAAAACACAGCUCUCUGCGAAGCCGUAAGGCGAAGUAUAGGGGGUGACACCUGCCCGGUGCUGGAAGGUUAAGGAGAGGGGUUAGCGUAAGCGAAGCUCUGAACUGAAGCCCCAGUAAACGGCGGCCGUAACUAUAACGGUCCUAAGGUAGCGAAAUUCCUUGUCGGGUAAGUUCCGACCCG
rnacentral:rRNA from 1 species